GGCGCUAUCGUAUAGCGGUUUAGUACACAGGAUUCUGACUCAGCAAUUUCAAAUUCCUGUAACCCAGGUUCGAUCCCUGGUAGCGCCU
rfam:Stereum hirsutum FP-91666 SS1 unplaced genomic scaffold STEHIscaffold_21, whole genome shotgun sequence.